GACACACCACCUGUUCAUGUCGCUCAAGGCGUUUAAAGUUUGAGAGACGCGCUUACAGGGCGCUCUUGUGUACUGCAUUGACUAAGACAAGACAUUUUUUGAAAAAUUCAAGUCUAUUGACUUUAGGACUUUUAGGAUUUCACUAAACCUGCAGUGAUUGCACUGCUCUUGCCAUGAGGUCAC